rnacentral:rRNA from 1 species
AGCGAGCGCAGGCGGUUUGGUUUAAGUCUGAUGUGAAAGCCUUCGGCUUAACCGGAGAAGUGCAUCGGAAACUGGGAGACUUGAGUGCAGAAGAGGACAGUGGAACUGCCAUGUGUAGCGGUGGAAUGCGUAGAUAUAUGGAAAGAACACCAGUCCGGCGAAGGCGGCUGUCUAGUCUGUAACUGACGCUGCAGGCUCGAAAGCAUGGGUAGCGAACAGGAUUAGAUACCCUGGUAGUCCAUGCCGUAACGAUGAGUGGCUAAGUGUUGGAGGGUUCCGCCCUUCAAAUGCUGCAGCUAACGCAUUAAGCAUUCGCCUGGGGAGUACAACCGCAAAGUUGAA